GGGCCGGUAGCACAAUUGGUAGAGCAUCUGUCUAGCAGAGGAAGGUCCUAGGUUCGACUCCUAGCCAAUCCA